AUGUUUAGGAGCGGGAUCUGCCCAAGAACGACCUGUGGUGGCACGGACUCCGCAAGCGUCCCGCACCCUCUGAGAAAGAAACUCCUCAACCAUCACAAGAUAAAGAAGUAUGACGCUCUGUGUCCAAGAAAAGGGUAG
rnacentral:rRNA from 1 species